rnacentral:rRNA from 1 species
CCCGGACCUUGUACACACCGCCCGUCAAGCGAGUGGAAGUUGGGAGGACCUGAAGGCAGUAGCUGUGAGGCGCUGUUUAGGGUUAAGCCGAUAACUGGCGCU